rnacentral:tRNA from 1 species
GUUUUUAUAAUUUAAUUAAAAUAUUAGUCUUGUAAACUGAAAAUAAACCAAGUUUUAAAAACU